rnacentral:rRNA from 1 species
UACGUAGGGGGCUAGCGUUGUCCGGAAUCAUUGGGCGUAAAGCGCGCGUAAGCGGCCCGGUAAGUCCGCUGUGAAAGUCCAGGGCUCAACCCUGGAAAGCCGGUGGAUACUGCCGGGCUAGAGUCCGGAAGAGGCGAGUGGAAUUCCUGGUGUAGCGGUGGAAUGCGCAGAUAUCGGGAGGAAUACCAAUGGCGAAGGCAAGCUUCUGGGCCGUCACUGACGCUGAGCUGCGAAAGCUAGGGGAGCAAACAGG